AGUCGGUGCCGCUGCUUUUGGCAGCGGGUAAAAGGGAAACAGGUGCAAUGCCUGUGCGAACUCGUCACCGUAUGCGGGUCGGCGCUGUCACGCAUCAGCAGUCACUGAGAAAUCGGGAAGGCGACAGCGUCAUAUGCCGCAAGCCGGGAAACCUGCCGUCUGC
rnacentral:ncRNA from 1 species